GCCAGUCAAAUUUUCAACAUGCAAAUCAAAUAUCCAGCAUGGCAAAUCCAGAUUAUCUAGCAUUAGAUUCUCUCAAGCAAUAAAUAGCACCAAAAGAUCAUUCAACUUUUCAGUCUCCACUGACAGAAGCAACAGCAACUAGCACCAGCAACUUUAGACAUUGGAUACUUUAACUUUUCAAUUUUUACUGACAAAAAUAGCAACAAUAUCAAAGAAGUCCCUCAACUUUUGCAACGGAUGCUUCAACUUUCAGUCUCCACUAACAAAAGCAAUAAUAAUACUGGAUAAGCCCCUAAACUUUUUAUAUUUGAUUAGUAAGUAGCAUCAGACCAAUAAUGGAUACUCAAACAAAGCGACGUUGGAUGCUCUAAUCCAAACUCCGAGUCUGACAACAACACAGCCAACCAAAUCGGACUCAAAACCAUUUCAAAUACAAUAGCGCUCUAUCAGAGCUGGGGAUCCCUCCUUCCAAAAGGAAGGCAAUAGAGACUUCGAAAGGCCUCUCCAAAAAUUCUUUUACCUGUAUCACAAAUAUCCUUUCCAAAAUAUAUCCAAAUCAUUCCAAAUCCUCAAACCCUACUUUGUUGUAUCCAACUAAAGUCAUCAAGGAUCAAGAGUUGCAAUUGCCAAAGUUUUCAAUAAAAAUUCUUCAAUUAUUUUCCAUCUAUCAUGCUCUCACUCUUAUUUCAAUCUAUUUUUCAAUUCCAUAAUCAACAAAGGAUAAAAGGCUGUAAUCUCCAAUUUUAAGAAGCUUGUUUGUAAGUCAAUAAACGUCAAAAUUUAGAGUUUCAAUAUUUUGCCUUCUUCAUUCCUUUAUUCUAUUGUUUUAUGAAUUCAAGACCUAAAGUUGGUAUACCAAGUGGAGAGCCAAGUUAGUGUUCCUAGAUGAGAACCUCGUUGGUAUUCUUAGUUGAGACCCAAAAUUUUUGGCAUUCUAAUUAGAGAGCCAAUCGGCAUUCCUUCUUAACAGCUUACUUAUAUUCCAACCGGAGAACUAACUAUAGAUUUUUUAAUAAUA
rnacentral:lncRNA from 1 species